rnacentral:rRNA from 1 species
UUCCUACGGGAGGCUGCAGUGGGGAAUAUUGGACAAUGGGGGCAACCCUGAUCCAGCCAUGCCGCGUGAGUGAUGAAGGCCUUCGGGUUGUAAAGCUCUUUUGGCGGGGACGAUGAUGACGGUACCCGCAGAAUAAGCCCCGGCUAACUUCGUGCCAGCAGCCGCGGUAAGACGAAGGGGGCUAGCGUUGUUCGGAAUUACUGGGCGUAAAGGGCGCGUAGGCGGUCUUGUCAGUCAGGCGUGAAAGCCCUGGGCUCAACCUGGGAUGUGCGCUUGAUACUGCAAGGCUUGAGUGCAGGAGAGGAUGGUGGAAUUCCCAGUGUAGAGGUGAAAUUCGUAGAUAUUGGGAAGAACACCGGUGGCGAAGGCGGCCAUCUGGACUGCAACUGACGCUGAGGCGCGAAAGCGUGGGGAGCAAACAGGAUUAGAUACCCCGGUAGUC